UUUUACGUCAUUGCGGACGGGCUGAGUUUUACGUCGUCCCAAGACCCGUCACGAUAAUAAAAAAACUUUUACGUCAUUGCGGACGGGCUGAGUUUUACGUCGUCCCAAGACCCGUCACGAUAAUAAAAAAACGUGAGUUUUACUUCAUCACGAGGAAGGGGCAGUUUAUUGUCAUGCCCAGGACUCAUUAUUGUUUCUUUAUUUCUAGUUUUACGUCAUUGCGGACGGGCUGAGUUUUACGUCGUCCCAAGACCCGUCACGAUAAUAAAAAAACUUUUACGUCAUUGCGGACGGGCUGAGUUUUACGUCGUCCCAAGACCCGUCACGAUAAUAA